rnacentral:miRNA from 1 species
AUUGGGUUGACCAAAAAGUUCGUUUGGGUUUUUCCAGAAGAUGUGAUGAAAAACCCGAAUGAACUUUAUGGCCAACCCAAU